rnacentral:misc_RNA from 1 species
CUCAGGUGAUCUGAACACAAUAAUUGUUCCAAAUAUAGGGGCCAAGAGAUCAAAUCAAAAUAACAACUAGAAAAGAUUGAGAAUAAUUUUGACAAGGAAGAAAUAAAUAGAAUCAUGAAACACCAUGGCCACUUAACAUGGUUAUUACUACAGAAAAAAGAACAUUUGUUGGGGAGAAGGUUAACUUCUCAAUCCGUCGCACAAAUACACAAAACAAGAGGGGUUGGAAAAAAACUCGUGUUGCAAAGCAGUUGGCUAUCCUGAUAGAAACAUUACUUUACCCUAAUACAUUGAAGCGGAGGUAAAAAAGAGACGGAACUCUACACAAGCAUCCUUGUGUUCCAGACCUAUAUAGCAAAUGACUAGCGAAUGAGCACAUAUCAGUGCCUGGUUCUCCUUCCAAUUUCCAAUAAGCAUUUGGUUGACGUUAAAUUUUCAAAGAUUUUAGUUCCAAUAUAUGCAAUGUCAUAAAGAACGCUCCAAAAGAGUAAAAAAGAAGGCUACCCUUUGAAUUGAUCCUCCCGAAA